rnacentral:rRNA from 1 species
UUCUGGCUCAGGAUGAACGCUGGCGGCGUGCUUAACACAUGCAAGUCGAACGGAGUUUUUAACGGAAGUUUCGGAUGGAAGUUUAGAAACUUAGUGGCGGACGGGUGAGUAACGCGUGGGUAACCUGCCUCAUACAGGGGGAUAACAGUUAGAAAUGACUGCUAACACCGCAUAAUAUAGCGAAACCGCAUGAUUUUUGCUAUCAAAUAUUUAUAGGUAUGAGAUGGGCCCGCGUCUGAUUAGCUAGUUGGUGGGGUAAAAGCCUACCAAGGCGACGAUCAGUAGCCGGCUUGAGAGAGUGACCGGCCACAUUGGGACUGAGACACGGCCCAAACUCCUACGGGAGGCAGCAGUGGGGAAUAUUGGACAAUGGGGGAAACCCUGAUCCAGCGAACCGCCGCGUGAGUGAAGAAGUAUUUCGGUAUGUAAAGCUCUAUCAGCAGGGAAGAUAAUGACAGUACCUGACUAAGAAGCCCCGGCUAACUACGUGCCAGCAGCCGC